rnacentral:rRNA from 1 species
UACGUAGGGUCCGAGCGUUGUCCGGAGUACUGGGCGUAAAGCGCGCGCAGGCGGCCCGGCAAGCAUGGCGUGAAAGCCCCCCGGCUCAACCGGGGAGAGUCGUCGUGGACUGCCGGGCUUGAGGGCGGCAGGGGCUGGUGGAAUUCCCGGUGUAGUGGUGAAAUGCGUAGAGAUGCGGAGGAACACCGAUGGCGAAGGCAGCCCCCUGGGCGUAACACUGACGCUCAGGCACGAAAGCGUGGGGAGCAAACAGG